UACGUAGGGUGCGAGCGUUAAUCGGAAUUACUGGGCGUAAAGCGUGUGUAGGCGGUUCGUUAAGUCGGAUGUGAAAGCCCUGGGCUCAACCUAGGAAUUGCAUUCGAUACUGGCGGGCUAGAGUACGGUAGAGGGCGGCGGAAUUCCGGGUGUAGCGGUGAAAUGCGCAGAUAUCAGGAGGAACACCGGUGGCGAAGGCGGAUCUCUGGGCCGAUACUGACGCUGAGGAGCGAAAGCGUGGGGAGCGAACAGG
rnacentral:rRNA from 1 species